CCCCUUUCAAAGCACAUCCACCAUAUUUAUAUGUUGCCUGUCCCCUCGGGGACUAUGGACAUAAACGCGCUCGUAAUAAGCGGAUCGGACCCGGGGGCGGUACCCGGCGUCUCCACCAAACAUCCUUCAUUUGGGGAUCAUGGGGACGAAAUAGGAUCGACGGACGUCUAAAGGGGUUAGCUUUGUUUCGGUGAGAUACCACCGUUAUCGGUUCAUUUAAGCUAGUUGCAAAUGACAACAAAGCUCCGGCUAUGGCUCUGGCUGCGUAAGCAGUUCGGGUUGCCGAAACUAAGUCCCUUGGCCUAGCCGCCUUGGGCGGGGUUCGCAGGUACCUGGCAACAGAAACCUGCACU
rnacentral:tmRNA from 1 species